UACGUAGGGUCCGAGCGUUGUCCGGAAUUAUUGGGCGUAAAGGGCUCGUAGGCGGUUUGUCGCGUCGGGGGUGAAAACUCAGGGCUCAACCCUGAGCGUGCUUCCGAUACGGGCAGACUAGAGGUAUUCAGGGGAGAACGGAAUUCCUGGUGUAGCGGUGGAAUGCGCAGAUAUCAGGAGGAACACCGGUGGCGAAGGCGGUUCUCUGGGAAUUACCUGACGCUGAGGAGCGAAAGCAUGGGGAGCGAACAGG
rnacentral:rRNA from 1 species